CAUAAUACUAUUACUAACGGCCUAAUUUAGGUACAAAAAAAUGAAAAACAAAUAAUUUAUGUAACACAUCAACAAAAGAAAAGAAAAUCACUGUAUUACAUGCUCCUGACUUGGAACAGGCACAUGCAGGCAGAAUAUGGCGGGGUUAAAUAUGUUCUCUUGCCGAUUAUAAACUGAAAUAAAACCGGCAAAAUAGCAAAACUCUAUAUAAUUUAAAUCGCUAUUUUAUCCAAGCCUUUAUAUUAAGUUCUUAAAACUUAUAAUCUAGCCG
rnacentral:lncRNA from 1 species